rnacentral:rRNA from 1 species
CCUACGGGUGGCAGCAGUGAGGAAUAUUGGUCAAUGGACUAGAGUCUGAACCAGCCAAGUAGCGUGAAGGAUGACUGCCCUAUGGGUUGUAAACUUCUUUUAUAUGGGAAUAAAAUGUUCCACGUGUGGGAUUUUGUAUGUACCAUAUGAAUAAGGAUCGGCUAACGACGUGCCAGCAGCCGCGGUAAUACGGAGGAUCCGAGCGUUAUCCGGAUUUUUUGGGUUUAAAGGGAGCGUAGGUGGGUUGGUAAGGCAGUUGUGAAAGUUUGAGGCUCAACCGUAAAAUUGCAGUUGAAACUGGCGGUCUGGAGUGCAGUAGAGGUAUGCGGAAUGCGUGGUGUAGCGGUGAAAUGCUUAGAUAUCACGAAGAACCCCGAUUGCGAAGGCAGCUCACUGGACUGCAACUGACGCUGAGGCACGAAAGUGUGGGUAUCAAACAGGAUUAGAUACCCGGGUAGUC